UGCACCUACGGGAGGCAGCAGUGAGGUUUAUUGGUUUUUGGGCGCGCGCCUGAACCAGCCAAGUCGCGUGAGGGAAGACGGUCCUAUGGAUUGUAAACCUCUUUUGUCGGGGAGCAAAAGACGCCACGCGUGGCGUUCCGAGAGUACCCGAAGAAAAAGCAUCGGCUAACUCCGUGCCAGCAGCCGCGGUAAUACGGAGGAUGCGAGCGUUAUCCGGAUUUAUUGGGUUUAAAGGGUGCGCAGGCGGAAGAUCAAGUCAGCGGUAAAAUUGAGAGGCUCAACCUCUUCGAGCCGUUGAAACUGGU
rnacentral:rRNA from 1 species